AGGGAAUUCAAGGACUAAGCGGAGAAAAUGGAGUUCCUGGCCUGAAAGGACAAAAGGGAUUAAUGGGAGAUCCUGGACUUUCUGGGCCACUUGGGGAUCAGGGGAAGAAGGGAAAACCAGGAUCUGAGGGUUUACCAGGAUUGCGAGGGC